CCUACGGGUGGCAGCAGUGGGGAAUAUUGCACAAUGGGGGAAACCCUGAUGCAGCGACGCCGCGUGAAGGAAGAAGUAUUUCGGUAUGUAAACUUCUAUCAGCAGGGAAGAAAAUGACGGUACCUGACUAAGAAGCCCCGGCUAACUACGUGCCAGCAGCCGCGGUAAUACGUAGGGGGCAAGCGUUAUCCGGAUUUACUGGGUGUAAAGGGAGCGUAGGCGGUUUAGCAAGUCAGAAGUGAAAGCCCGGGGCUCAACUCCGGGACUGCUUUUGAAACUGUUGAACUAGAGUGCAGGAGAGGUAAGUGGAAUUCCUAGUGUAGCGGUGAAAUGCGUAGAUAUUAGGAGGAACACCAGUGGCGAAGGCGGCUUACUGGACUGUAAAUGACGCUGAGGCUCGAAAGCGUGGGGAGCAAACAGGAUUAGAUACCCUGGUAGUC
rnacentral:rRNA from 1 species